UCAUGGAAAAUGUUUUACGCCGGGGCGCCGAUUGAGUUUUCGGCGGAUCGCUCAAGACACACGACCUGACUCAUGGCCCCGCACCGCUCUCUUUCCCCACCGCACCACUACCUUUUCCCUAUCUUAUCCUCAGCCGCACCACACCACUACCUUUUCCCCACCUUAUCCUCAGCCGCACCAGCAUCUAUCUUCAUCAAAUCUCUCUCACCAUAGAAGCCCUCUCAAGCUCGAUUCCUCCUCUCUCUCUCUCUCUCUCUCUCUCUCUCUCUCUCUCUCUCUCUCUCCAUUCCACCAGUAGCCAUGAGAGCACUAGUUUGUUGUUGCUCCGCCGUAGCAUCUCCUCCCCUCCUCCCCCCCCCCCCCCCCCCCACCGCGUGCUUGGCUGGAACCAGCCAGCCUAGUGCCCGACAGCGACCAUUCUUGUAGAUAAAGCUUCAACCUCCGGCUGGAUUUUUGCUGGAACCACUAGUGAGGAUGUUACAAGCAGGGGAGAUUUUUGCAGCAACUAUGUUCUUUUUUUGCUGGAACCGGUCCUAAUUCUUGCUACCAUCUUGUCUUGAUUUUGCUGGAACAAGCCUAAAAAUUGCUACCGUGGUUCGAUUUUGCUGGAACCGUUCGACGGCGGCGAUGUCGUGCUAUGAUGGGUGGUGCCUACGCGAGUUGCUGGAAACGAUGUUUGGAUGAGCUGCAUUCGGCGAGGAGUGGUGCUGGAACAACGGGAGAUGAGGAGGAUGUGCUACGCCGGCGAAUUGGAGCUGCAGGGAGAGGCGUGGAGCGAUGGAGAUCCGACUAGCGGCGGAGAUCCAGCGGGUUAGGUCGCUCGUCCAUGGCGCUGGCGCUUGCCAUGCGUGCUCGCAUGAUUUGCAGGGUAGAAACGGUAUGAUGGGGACGAAAGCGACCUGAAUCUGACGACUAAAAGGGAUUUUAUCGAACGUACCGGGUGUGACCGGCCCAAAUUUGGGCCGGCGCGCCAGCGCCUAGCGUUGAGGAAGUACAGGGUCCAUCACGUGAGGAUCAUAUGGGGAGUGAUAGUUUCGCAUGAAGCACAAAUUGCAUUACAUGCGAUCGGAGUAGUACCCGUGAGGGAGUACAAGUAUGUUGUCUCGGAGAGUUAUACCUGUGUUAUUUGUGGAGCACAAGUUUGUUAUAUUUGUAAGUACAAGUUUUGUACAAAAAAAUUCAUCAAAACAUAUCAACA